CCUACGGGGGGCAGCAGUGAGGAAUAUUGGUCAAUGGACGAGAGUCUGAACCAGCCAAGUAGCGUGAAGGAUGACUGCCCUAUGGGUUGUAAACUUCUUUUAUAUGGGAAUAAAACGUUCCACGUGUGGGAUUUUGUAUGUACCAUAUGAAUAAGGAUCGGCUAACUCCGUGCCAGCAGCCGCGGUAAUACGGAGGAUCCGAGCGUUAUCCGGAUUUAUUGGGUUUAAAGGGAGCGUAGGUGGAUUGUUAAGUCAGUUGUGAAAGUUUGCGGCUUAACCGUAAAAUUGCAGUUGAAACUGGCAGUCUUGAGUGCAGUAGAGGUGGGCGGAAUUCGUGGUGUAGCGGUGAAAUGCUUAGAUAUCACGAAGAACUCCGAUUGCGAAGGCAGUUCACUGGACUGCAACUGACACUGAGGCUCGAAAGUGUGGGUAUCAAACAGGAUUAGAUACCCUGGUAGUC
rnacentral:rRNA from 1 species